UGGGGAAUAUUGGACAAUGGGGGCAACCCUGAUCCAGCAAUGCCGCGUGUGUGAAGAAGGUCUUCGGAUUGUAAAGCACUUUCGACGGGGACGAUGAUGACGGUACCCGUAGAAGAAGCCCCGGCUAACUUCGUGCCAGCAGCCGCGGUAAUACGAAGGGGGCUAGCGUUGCUCGGAAUGACUGGGCGUAAAGGGCGUGUAGGCGGUUUACACAGUCAGAUGUGAAAUCCCCGGGCUUAACCUGGGAGCUGCAUUUGAUACGUGUAGACUAGAGUGUGAGAGAGGGUUGUGGAAUUCCCAGUGUAGAGAUGAAAUUCGUAGAUAUUGGGAAGAACACCGGUGGCGAAGGC
rnacentral:rRNA from 1 species